rnacentral:sRNA from 1 species
UGUCAUAGCACUACAGAAACACCGCAGA